rnacentral:tRNA from 1 species
GGUAAGUAUAACUCAAAGGUAGAGUAACUGUAUGUGGCUCAGUAUGUUCUUGGUUCAAGUCCAGGUAUUUACC